UACAGAGGUCCCAAGCGUUGUUCGGAUUCACUGGGCGUAAAGGGUGCGUAGGCGGUCCGACAAGUCGGGGGUGAAAUCCUGCAGCUUAACUGCAGAAGUGCCUUCGAUACUGUCGGUCUUGAGGGAGAUAGGGGUGUGCGGAACUUCCAGUGGAGCGGUGAAAUGCGUUGAUAUUGGAAGGAACGCCGGAGGCGAAAGCGGCGCACUGGAUCUCUACUGACGCUGAGGCGCGAAAGCCAGGGGAGCAAACGGG
rnacentral:rRNA from 1 species